UGGGGAAUAUUGCACAAUGGGCGCAAGCCUGAUGCAGCCAUGCCGCGUGUAUGAAGAAGGCCUUCGGGUUGUAAAGUACUUUCAGUCGGGAGGAAGGUGGUAAGGUUAAUAACCUUAUCAAUUGACGUUACCGACAGAAGAAGCACCGGCUAACUCCGUGCCAGCAGCCGCGGUAAUACGGAGGGUGCAAGCGUUAAUCGGAAUUACUGGGCGUAAAGCGCACGCAGGCGGUUGAUUGAGUCAGAUGUGAAAUCCCCGGGUUUAACCCGGGAAUUGCAUCUGAUACUGGUCAGCUAGAGUCUUGUAGAGGGGGGUAGAAUUCCAUGUGUAGCGGUGAAAUGCGUAGAGAUGUGGAGGAAUACCGGUGGCGAAGGCGGCCCCCUGGACAAAGACUGACGCUCAGGUGCGAAAGCGUGGGGAGCAAACAGG
rnacentral:rRNA from 1 species